rnacentral:rRNA from 1 species
GACGAACGCUGGCGGCGUGCUUAACACAUGCAAGUCGAACGGAAAGGCCCUGCUUUUGUGGGGUGCUCGAGUUGCGAACGGGUGAGUAACACGUGAGUAACCUGCCCUUGACUUUGGGAUAACUUCAGGAAACUGGGGCUAAUACCGGAUAGGAGCUCCUGCUGCAUGGUGGGGGUUGGAAAGUUUCGGCGGUUGGGGAUGGACUCGCGGCUUAUCAGCUUGUUGGUGGGGUAGUGGCUUACCAAGGCUUUGACGGGUAGCCGGCCUGAGAGGGUGACCGGCCACAUUGGGACUGAGAUACGGCCCAGACUCCUACGGGAGGCAGCAGUGGGGAAUAUUGCACAAUGGGCGGAAGCCUGAUGCAGCAACGCCGCGUGCGGGAUGACGGCCUUCGGGUUGUAAACCGCUUUCGCCUGUGACGAAGCGUGAGUGACGGUAAUGUGUAAAGAAGCACCGGCUAACUACGUG